rnacentral:rRNA from 1 species
CCUGACGGUAGUCGUAUGCUCGUCUCCGAGACUAAGCCAUGCAAGUCCAAGUACACGUCCUUGAACGACGGAAACUGCGAACGGCUCAUUAAAUCAGUUGCGAUCUACUCGGCGUUCCGCGCCGCCGGAUAACCGUAGUAAUUCUAGGGCUAAUACGUGCGAAGCGCCCGAAGCCGCGAGGCGACGGGCGUUCUCGCCGGAUGUAGGAACCGACCCGGGGACCGCCGGGGGCAACCCGGCGCCCCCGAGACGGGGCGAACCACGGUGAAAUGACGGAUCGUCGGCCCCGCGCCGGCGACUCGCCGAAUGAGUUUCUGACCUAUCAACUCGAGACGGCGGGGUAGAGGCCCGCCGCGGUAACGACGGGUAACGGGGAAUCAGGGUUCGAUUCCGGAGAGGGAGCCCGAGAAACGGCUACCACUUCCAAGGAAGGCAGCAGGCGCGCAACUUACCCUAAUCUCGAUUCGAGGAGGUAGUGA